rnacentral:lncRNA from 1 species
AAAAAAUCCGGGGGAUGGUACAGAAAAAACACUCACCGAAUGAGAAACUCUUAGUUGAAAAAAGAAGAAGAGAAAAUCAAAGAAAAAAAGAGAAUUGCAUAAUACAAAACGAAAAAGAAAAGAAUUGGAAAUGAGAUUUAGAACAAACAUUGUGAAAAGAAUAAUGACAUUGGCUCUGAACCCAAACCACUUGUUUCCCCUUUUGUUUGUA